AGUGAACGCUGGCGGUAGGCCUAACACAUGCAAGUCGAACGGCAGCACAGGAGAGCUUGCUCUCUGGGUGGCGAGUGGCGGACGGGUGAGGAAUACAUCGGAAUCUACCUUUUCGUGGGGGAUAACGUAGGGAAACUUACGCUAAUACCGCAUACGACCUACGGGUGAAAGUGGGGGACCGCAAGGCCUCACGCGAUUAGAUGAGCCGAUGUCCGAUUAGCUAGUUGGCGGGGUAAUGGCCCACCAAGGCGACGAUCGGUAGCUGGUCUGAGAGGAUGAUCAGCCACACUGGAACUGAGACACGGUCCAGACUCCUACGGGAGGCAGCAGUGGGGAAUAUUGGACAAUGGGCGCAAGCCUGAUCCAGCCAUACCGCGUGGGUGAAGAAGGCCUUCGGGUUGUAAAGCCCUUUUGUUGGGAAAGAAAUCCUAUCGGUUAAUAACCGGUGGGGAUGACGGUACCCAAAGAAUAAGCACCGGCUAACUUCGUGCCAGCAGCCGCCGUAAGAC
rnacentral:rRNA from 1 species